rnacentral:lncRNA from 1 species
CUCCUUGCGCAAGCGCUGUGGUACCAGACGCAAGCUGCGGGCGACAUUGUUUGGGAUGCUGGGUUCUGCUUUUCCAGAAUCCUGCCCUUUCCAAAAGGAAGACAGUAUGAUUAAGUUCCAGGAAAGGGCGACAUUCAAGGACAUAGCUGUUAUCUUCACCAAGGAAGAGCUGGCAGUAUUGGAUAAAUCCCAGAUAAACCUGUACCAAGAUGUGAUGCUGGAAAACUUCAGGAACCUCAUCUCAGUGGGGUCUUGCUCUGUCAUCCAGGUGGCUGGAGUGCAGUGGCCUGAUCAUGGCUUGCUGCUGAAGCCUUGAACUGCUGAGGCUUGAGCCCAGGAGGUGGAGGUUGCAAUGAGCCGAGAUCACACCACAGCACUCCAGCCCAGGCGGCAGUGAGAGACUGUCUCAAAAAAAAAAAAAAAAAAAAAAAAAAAAGAAGUCCCUUAUGUGUGAUGAUAAAAUUUGAUGAAGAGCAACAUUGGUGGACUUACACUACCAGAGAUCAACAUUUAUUAUAAAUGUUCUAUAAUUAAUACAGUGUAGUAUUAGCUCAGGAGAGAAAAAAUAGAUCAAUGGAAAAGAAUAGGGAGUCUAAAAACAGAUCCACAUGUAUACAGUGAGUCAGUUUAUCAGCCUUGAAAUACGUUGGAGAAAUAAUAGUCAUUUAAUAACUGAUGCUGGGUUCACUGGCUACUUAACACUAGUUCUUCAUACAAUUGCAGGCAAUAAAUACAAAUAGCAUGCAGCUGGCAGACUGGGAUCAGUGGCUAUGCCUCCACUAGACUGCCCAUAGAAGCACAUAGUAACAGCUACCAAAGGUGUCUGAUCUGUCUUGUCUUUUUUUAAACUCAUUUUGUUCAGGUAUAAUUUACAUAAAAUGCAGACUUUAACUACAUUUGUUUUAACAAAUGUACAUAUCCUUGUAAAUAAUGCCCAUUCAACAUGUUAAACAUUUUAUUUACCCCAAAAAUUUCCCUUGUGCCCCUUUCCCUUCAUUUCUUUCCAAAAAAGGAUAUAAUCACUGUUUUGUUUCUAUCACCAUAUGUUGGUUUGCCUAUUCUUGAACUUUAUAUAAAUGAAAUCAUACUGUAAGAUACUCUUGUAUUUGGCUUUUUUUCAUUCAACAUGGUUUUCUAAAUUAGUAAUUUAUAAUAAAGAGUACUGCAUAUUUUA